UGGGAGUGUAGUUUGUAGGAAGCUGCUACACCCUGGUGGCCUUCUGUUUUGUUGCACGGUUGUUCGGGUUCACGGUGAACUGCUGCUGUCCACACGGAGUGGAGGAAGGCAAGGCAAGGCCUAGGUGCUCAGUCAGUCAGCAGAGCAAACUUGGUGUACUCUGAAGACCCGUGAGGCUCGACAUGACAGCCACCUCAUGCUUGGAUUCCCGCUGCUUUCAGAGACAGGGUCUUAUGAGGCCAGGCUGACCUUAAACUCACUGUGUAACUGAGGAUGACACUGAAUUCUUGAUCCUCCUGUUUUCCUCCCACAAGAGCUGAGAUUAGAGGCCUGUGCCAUCACACCCAGCAAAAAUGUAUUCCUGGAACUCAAAGGUGAAUAAAAACAAGCACACUGGU
rnacentral:lncRNA from 1 species